AUUACCGCGGCUGCUGGCACGUAGUUAGCCGGUGCUUAUUCUUCAGGUACCGUCAUCCUCCCGAGGUAUUAACCCAGAAGAUUUCUUCCCUGACAAAAGCGGUUCACAACCCGAAGGCCUUCUUCCCGCACGCGGCAUGGCUGAAUCAGGCUUGCGCCCAUUGUCCAAAAUUCCCCACUGCUGCCUCCCGUAGG
rnacentral:rRNA from 1 species